UAAAAACCCCGACUUCGGAAGGGGUGUAUUUAUUAGAUACAAAACCAAUGCCCUUCGGGGCUCUUUGGUGAUUCAUGAUAACUAUACGAAUCGCACGGCCUUGCGCCGGCGAUGGUUCAUUCAAAUUUCUUCCCUAUCAACUUUCGAUGUUUGGGUAUUGGCCAAACAUGGUUGCAACGGGUAACGGAGGGUUAGGGCUCGACCCCGGAGAAGGAGCCUGAGAAACGGCUACUACAUCCAAGGAAGGCAGCAGGCGCGCAAAUUACCCAAUCCCGACUCGGGGAGGUAGUGACAAUAAAUACUGAUACAGGGCCCUUUCGGGCCUUGUAAUUGGAAUGAGUACAAUUUAAAUCCCUUAACGAGGAACAAUUGGAGGGCAAGUCUGGUGCCAGCAGCCGCGGUAAUUCCAGCUCCAAUAGCGUAUAUUAAAGUUGUUGUGGUUAAAAAGCUCGUAGUUGAACCUUGGGCCUGGCCGGCCGGUCCGCCUCACCGCGUGCACUGGUCCGGCCGGGCCUUUCCCUCUGUGGAACCCCAUACCCUUCACUGGGCGUGGCGGGGAAACAGGACAUUUACUUU
rnacentral:rRNA from 1 species